GACGAACGCUGGCGGCGUGCUUAACACAUGCAAGUCGAACGAUGAGGCGGUGCUUGCACCGCGGAUUAGUGGCGAACGGGUGAGUAACACGUGAGUAACCUGCCCUUGGCUCUGGGAUAAGCGCUGGAAACGGUGUCUAAUACUGGAUAUGACUUCUUGCCGCAUGGUGAGGGGUGGAAAGAUUUUUUCGGCCAUGGAUGGGCUCGCGGCCUAUCAGCUUGUUGGUGAGGUAGUGGCUCACCAAGGCGACGACGGGUAGCCGGCCUGAGAGGGUGACCGGCCACACUGGGACUGAGACACGGCCCAGACUCCUACGGGAGGCAGCAGUGGGGAAUAUUGCACAAUGGGCGAAAGCCUGAUGCAGCAACGCCGCGUGGGGGAUGACGGCCUUCGGGUUGUAAAGCUCUUUCAGCUGGGAAGAUAAUGACGGUACCAGCAGAAGAAGCCCCGGCUAACUCCGUGCCAGCAGCCGCCGUAAUAC
rnacentral:rRNA from 1 species